rnacentral:rRNA from 1 species
AGAGUUUGAUCCUGGCUCAGAGCGAACGCUGGCGGCAUGCUUAACACAUGCAAGUCGCACGGUCAGCAAUGGCAGUGGCGGACGGGUGAGUAACGCGUAGGAAUCUAUCCAUGGAUGGGGGAUAACGUCGGGAAACUGACGCUAAUACCGCAUGAUGCCCGAGGGCCAAAGACGCAAGUCGUCUGUGGAGGAGCCUGCGU